CGCCCCUCCCCCACGACCCCCCUCGAUGGGUGGCAUCGUCACCCCCCAAUGGGUGUCUUGGCCCCCCCCCCAAUGGGUGUCAUCGUCACCCCCCAAUGGGUGUCAUUGUCGCCCCCCCCAAUGGGUGUCGUCACCCCCCAAUGGGUGUCUUGGCCCCCCCCCAACGGGUGUCAUCGUCACCUCUCAGUGGGUGUCAUCGUCGCCCCCCAAUGGGUGUCUUGGCCCCCCCCAACGGGUGUCAUUGUCACCCCCCCAAUGGGUGUCAUCGUCACCCCCCAAUGGGUGUCAUUGUCGCCCCCCAAUGGGUGUCAUUGUCACCCCCCCAAUGGGUGUCACUGUCACCCUGCAGGUGCUGUCACCCUAUAGGGGUGUUGCGCCCCCCCGGGCGUCAUUACCAUCCUCUAUGGGUGUCCUCCGCCCCCAAUGGGUGUCACUGUCACCCCCCCCCCCCCCCGUGGGUGGUGUCACCCCAUCCCAGGGUGCCCCCCCCGCCGUCUCCGCUGUCCCCGGGUGUUGUCACCCCCCUCCCCCGCUCCAGUGGUGGUGUCACCCCGUCGUCCCCUGUCGGGGCGCCUACAGUGUGUGUCCCCCCCCCGCAUUGGGCGGCACUUUGCGUUGUCAUCCCCCCGCCUGGGGACACGGGGGGGGGGGGGGGGGUUAAUGGGGGGGUGACUGCAGACCUGGGCUGGGGGUGCAGCCAGAUUUUUGGGGGGGGGGGAAAUCAAAGGUGGGGACCCCAUGGGGACACGCUGGGGGCACAGGGACCCCUCAGUGGGGACCCCCCCAAGUGGGGACAGGGGACUCCCCUCAACGGGGGCUUGGGACCCCCACAUGGGGGAGGGGGGGGGAACCCCUGGACCGCCCCCCCCCGCCUCGACUGCAUCCCCCACCCGAGGGGUGGUGCCGUUUUUAAUUCCUUCUUUUUUUUUUAUUUACAUCCCCCCCCCCCAAUUAAAUCUUUCUUAAUUUAUUGCUGUUGGGAACAAAACCACGAAGCGGGGGGGGGGGCUACGGGACUGACCCCCUCCCCUCCUCCCCCCCCCCCAGGCCUGGCGCACCCCCGGGACCCCCCUCAGCCCCGGUCUCCCCCAGGGCCCCCCCAGCCCCAUCGGACCCCCUUGGCCCCCCCGGGCCCGCACAGAGGAAUACACGGUUCUAUGCUUCGUACCCCGCCUCUGCCUGCUGCCGCGCCGCCCCCCGGGGCCCCCACGCCAUGGGGAGGGGGGAGGUACCGGGAGACCCCCCCCAAAACAAGGGAACCGCCCCCCCUUAUUUCACCCUAACAAUUUGGGACUCCCACUGUAGGACCCAACUGCAUGGGGGUUCACCCCUCCCCAUGUGUCCCGACGUUUUGGGGACGCCCCCCUCUAUGGGUCCCGUUGUUUUGGGGACCCCCCCCCCCCCCUCUAUGGGUCCCCACGUUUUGGGACCCCCC
rnacentral:lncRNA from 1 species